rnacentral:rRNA from 1 species
UACGGGGGGGGCAAGCGUUGUUCGGAAUUACGGGGCGUAAAGGGCUCGUAGGCGGCCAACUAAGUCGGAUGUGAAAUCCCCAGGCUCAACUUGGGAACUGCAUCCGAUACUGGAUGGCUUGAAUUCGGGAGAGGGAUGCAGAAUUCCAGGUGUAGCGGUGAAAUGCGUAGAUAUCUGGAGGAAUACCGGUGGCGAAGGCGGCAUCCUGGACCGACAUUGACGCUGAGGAGCGAAAGCUAGGGGAGCAAACGGG